rnacentral:piRNA from 1 species
CCUGUGGACAAUACAUUUCUGGUGACAAUGU